GUGACGAGUUUGAUCAUGGCUCAGAUUGAACGCUGGCGGCAUGCCUAACACAUGCAAGUCGAACGGCAGCGCGGGCUUCGGCCUGGCGGCGAGUGGCGGACGGGUGAGGAAUACAUAGGAAUCUGCCCAGUCGUGGGGGAUAACCCGGGGAAACCCGGACUAAUACCGCAUACGACGGUGACGUGAAAGCCGGGGACCUUCGGGCCUGGCGCGAUUGGAUGAGCCUAUGUCGGAUUAGCUAGUUGGCGGGGUAAAGGCCCACCAAGGCGACGAUCCGUAGCUGGUCUGAGAGGAUGAUCAGCCACACUGGGACUGAGACACGGCCCAGACUCCUACGGGAGGCAGCAGUGGGGAAUAUUGGACAAUGGGCGCAAGCCUGAUCCAGCAAUGCCGCGUGGGUGAAGAAGGCCUUCGGGUUGUAAAGCCCUUUUGUACGGGAAGAAAUCAUCCGGGUUAAUACCCUGGGUGGAUGACGGUACCGUAAGAAUAAGCACCGGCUAACUUCGUG
rnacentral:rRNA from 1 species